rnacentral:rRNA from 1 species
UGAGGAACAUGACCUUCGGCGGGGGAUAGCCGGCCCAACGGCCGGGUAAUACCGCGUACGACCUUUUGGGGACAUCCCCGAUUGGUGAAAGCAGCAAUGCGCCGAAAGAGUGCCUCGCGGCCUAUCAGCUAGUUGGUGGGGUAAUGGCUCACCAAGGCGACGACGGGUAGCCGGCCUGAGAGGGUGACCGGCCACACUGGGACUGAGACACGGCCCAGACUCCUACGGGAGGCAG